rnacentral:lncRNA from 1 species
UGGAAAAGCUGAGGUUGAUUUGGCUUGAAUCUGGCAUAUUGGAGGCUGUUGGAGUCGUUGAUGAUUUCGCCAGGUUGUACAAAUUUUGGUGCAGGUUGCCUGAAUAUCUGCAAGUAUCUUGGAUGGUUUUUCAUAAUCUGAAUUCAAGCGAUCUAAGCUAGUUUGAGUUUGAAUCUGAUCCCAAAUUGCGUCAUCAUAGGAAUUUGGCAUGGUGUUCAAUGAAAGCACCAUUUGAUACGAAUUUGUAUCAAGAACUAGAGAGAAUUAGACAUAAUCAGAGAGAAUAGAAGAGAAAUUCCUAGAAUUAGGGCCAAAGAGAGAGAGAGUAGAGUUUCCAAUUACACCGUGCAUAUCUCACAUUAUUACAUCAUACUCUUAUUUAUAGUAUAGUUCUCUAACUGGGCUAGCCCAAUACUAAUUGUAUCAUUAUAAUAUAAUGUGUUAAUUAUAAUUUGUUGAAACUUGAUUGUUUUUAAAAUAUUAGUGAAAAUCUGAAUUUUAAAUUUUAGUUUUAGGUUUUUGACUAUUUUAUAUUUUAUAUUAUAUAGUAGCGGUUCUACCGGUUCAACUUGUGACCCACCAGUUGAACCAGUAAUUUAGUGACCCAAUAGCCUAAUCGGUUCGAUCAUCAGUUUGGUUCUGACAAUUAUGCUUAGCACCAUAGUUGUCAAAAUCGAAUCGAUAAUCAAACCAGUUAGGUAACUGAUUUAUUGGUUUAUUAGUUCAAACGAUGAGUUACUGGUUGAACAAGCAAAACCGGUCUUCGAAGAAUUGAUGAGAUCCAUCAGAAGUCAAAAAAAGAAAUUCAUAUUUCUAAAUUUAUCUAUUGAUAUAGCUGAGAGAUUAUUAAAUUGGGUACCUAUAUUUGGUGGCAUGUACCUGUAUAAUCACAAUCACAUAAAUAAUUAUUUUAUAGUCAAUUAGAUGUAUUACCGUUUUAGUUAAAAAUUAUACUAGUCAAAUAUCUUAAUAAAUGUCAAAAUUUUUCAAUUAUGAUAAACUAAUUGAAUAUAUCACGUCGAAAUUUUUCAACUAUAUGAUCAGUUAAUUGAAUCUCCCCACUUUAAUUAUAAUGACACUAUUCAAGGAUUCCUACAAUGUGUCAAAAUUAUUAGUCAAGGAUUCCUACAAUGUGCAAAAUUUUUCAAUUGUCAGUUGUGGAUGUAAUUUCUCUGCAACUACAAAAAUCAAUGAAAAAAUUUUAUCAGUUCAAUUCAAUCUAAGACCGGUUAAAGAUUAGAAUUGGUGAGAACCAAUUAGAACUGGUAAAAUCCAAUAUAACCGAAUCAUUUAAGAAAAAAAUUUAAAAUUAAUAAAGAUAUAGUUUAAAUUUGGAUCCUCUUUAAAUCUUUGUAUUACAUAUUUUUCUUGCCACCAAAUUAUNNNNNNNNNNNNNNNNNNNNNNNNNNNNNNNNNNNNNNNNNNNNNNNNNNNNNNNNNNNNNNNNNNNNNNNNNNNNNNNNNNNNNNNNNNNNNNNNNNNNNNNNNNNNNNNNNNNNNNNNNNNNNNNNNNNNNNNNNNNNNNNNNNNNNNNNNNNNNNNNNNNNNNNNNNNNNNNNNNNNNNNNNNNNNNNNNNNNNNNNNNNNNNNNNNNNNNNNNNNNNNNNNNNNNNNNNNNNNNNNNNNNNNNNNNNNNNNNNNNNNNNNNNNNNNNNNNNNNNNNNNNNNNNNNNNNNNNNNNNNNNNNNNNNNNNNNNNNNNNNNNNNNNNNNNNNNNNNNNNNNNNNNNNNNNNNNNNNNNNNNNNNNNNNNNNNNNNNNNNNNNNNNNNNNNNNAUAUCUAAAUUAAAUUACUACACUAAAUAAAUCAAUAUUAAUUUUUUUAUCAGCAAUAACAUAAUCCUAACUACUAAAAAAAACAAUAGUAAUAAUAAUAUUUUGUAUAAUUUGUGAUUCGAAGAAUUGAUGAGAUCCAUCAGAAGUCAAAAAAAAGAAAUUCAUAUUUCUAAAUUUAUCUAUUGAUAUAGCGGAAAGAUUACUUAACUGUGUACCUAUAUUUAGUGGCCUGUACCUAUAUAAUCACAAUCACGUAAAUAAUUAUUUUAUAGUCAAUUAGAUGUAUUAUCAUUUUAAUUAAAAAUUACAAUAGUGAAAUAUCUUAAUAAAUGUCAAAAUUUUCUAAUUAUGAUAAACUAAUUGAAUGUAUCACGCGUUUUAAUGAUAAUGUAUUUGACAAGUACUCUGAAGUGUCGAAAUUUUUCAACUAUAUGAUCAGUUAAUUGAAUCUCCCCGCUUUAAUUAUAAUGGCACUAUUCAAAGAUUCCUACAAUGUGUCAAAAUUGACUAAAACCCCAUUUUGGUCCUCGAGAUUUAAAAUUACCUAUACUGGUCUUCCAGAUUUAGAUCUGGGCACCAAUGUAGUUCCUCAGCCUUUCCGGUGAUGACUCAGCAAACGGAGUGCCAUGGUGACACCCUUUCUGCCACGCUGGACCCUCUCUAAACGACGUCGUUUCCCUCCUUAGCGCCCAAAUAAGUAAAAAAACGCUGUGACUUGUAUAUGAAGGAGAAGAAACGAGUUUUACCCCAUACAAAAUAUUCAUCUUCUUCUUCAUCUCUAAUCAAUGGUGCCAAUGAGGAGUUUCUGAAAUCAUUCAUCACCCAAGUUGAACUAACUCACGGCUAGGUUAGAGUGGAAUCGUGUUUCAAAGGAAGGAGGUUGCUCUCCUCUCGUUCUUAGCCAAGGUAAGCGUUAAUCUUGGGGUUUAGUGGCUUUAAUUUUUUUUAAUUUAUUUUUGGAAUGCAUGUAUGAUUGUACUCUAUGGUGCUGGUGUUCUUGUCAAUGGAGAACCUUUAUGCUUUGUUGCAACUAUUUUUUCUAGGGUUUCUUUGAUUGCUUAUACGUUGGGUUGGGUUGUUGGGGUGCUCUGUUUUUUUAUGAAUGGAACAGGGGAUGAUAUUGAUAGGGUUAGGGCUAUGCAAUUUUAAAUUGGUUUUUGAAUUUGGGUUUUCAUCUCUGAACAAUUUUGAAUCUUACACUGAAAAUUCAAGUUGAUGGAGGAUUUAUCAACAUGCAUUUUGAAGAAAAUCAUUAUUCAGAUGAAGGGUUUGUGUCUGUCAAAGGUAGGAGGAGUUCUCUUAAGUUUAAAUAUGCAUCUGCCUCUGCAUUUGCAAAACUUAAGGAGAAGAUUGUUGUUGAAGAUGAUGGACUAGUGGAGGAUGUCUCGGAUGGCGAAGUUGACAUUGGUUUUGUUGGUGCAGACUUUGGACUUGAUCCUAGUACAGAUUCUGAUGGGGCUAAUUCAUGGCAUUCUGAGGAGAUGAAGAUCUCUCCCAACUCUGAAGAGGAAAUAACAGAUGUUGACUCAGAUAAUGGUUAUUCAUUGUUUAAAGAUGGAGGAAGGUUUGGAGAGUUAGUGCUGGAGGUUGGUAUGAAAUUCACUACCAAAUGGGAGUUCAAAUAGGCUGUUAGGGAGUACACAAUUCAGGAAGGGAAGAGGCUUAGGUUGAAAAAAAAUGAUAGCAAAAGAGUGAGAGCUGUAUGAAAAGUAAAGGAAUGUCCAUGGUUGGUGUAUGCCUCAAGAGACCAUGAGGAUACUUGUUGGCAAAUAAAAACAUUCAACAAUGAUCACACUUGUGCUAGAGAGGACAGAAACAUGGCAAAUAAAAACAUUCAACGAUAACACUCAUUUGAAAAGACAGCUUGAAAAUUUUACUUGCAGUUAUUGUGGUGAUAAAGGUCACACCAAGAGAGGUUGCAAAAAGAAGAGAUUGGCUGAUACAGCAGCUGCUGCUGCUGUGGCUGAGGCUGAGGCUACUACAAAAAACAAAGAGGGCGUAGGGGGAGGAGAUCCAACAGCCGACCAAACAUGCGUUGCUACCUCUGAUGGAACGAACCAACAAGGUGAAGGAGGAAAUGUACAACCUAUUGAUUUAGCACCUAUUGUUUCAGCAGCCAGUGAUGUCCAACCAGUAGAACUUGAGUUGUCUCAACCUACCUGUUUUGAACAAGAGGAUUCUCAGCAGGUAAAGAUGUAAAUGCCAUUGUUAUAUCAUAACCUAUUACUGUAUUUUAACUUUGGAACUUAAAUAUUUUUACAUGAUAUAGGUUGCUGGAAAUAUAAGGCCUGUAAAGUUGCCGACAAGAAGAAGAAGUUCUCCACCACCGAGUUCUGUCACAGUCAAUCCAUUGCAGGAUGCUAGCUCAGGAACAACAUCAAGGAUGGCAAGUUUAAUGAAGUUUGUGCCUACUCCCGGUUUCAAAGCACCAAGGAAAAAGACUUGAAGAAAUUAGUUAGAUGUGUUUAGGGAGGUUAUGAAAAUUAGUAUGUGGCAUUAGGCCUUUAAUGUUUUGUUAAAAUUUAGACAAUGACUACUAAGAUCAGUCCUGAUUAUUUUGAUAUCACAGUGGAUCUUUUGAUGUUAAUACUCAUGAUGCUUGGUUAUGCAUCUUUUUUGUUCAACUCUGAUAACUAAUUUAAUAUAAAUUCAGUUUGCUGUUUAACUUGCUUAUUAUAAUCCUAUUUAAAUAUAACUCAGUUUUGUUGAAUCAUGUGUAAGUCACAGGAAUUCCACAAAUUACUCUUUAUUCAUUCCAUUCAAAUAUUUUUACACAAUAUAUAUUCCAUUACAUUACAUUACACAUGAAUCCUUCUAUAAUUUUUUCUUCAAAAUUUGUCACACAUCACUAACAGAAACACUACCAUCAUAAACACAGCUACCAUCAACAAAUUGGUCAUGAAUUUCUGACUUCUUACAUCAUUUUCCAACCUCCCAACCCUUCAUGCUAGGUUCAUCUUCAUUCUACCAUUGACUCUAUCAGAAUCUGCUAUUCCAGCACUUUCCUCUUAAACAAUGUCAGCCCAAACAAACAUACCACACCAAGUCUUUUUCUUUGUCUGAAAUGAACCAAUAAAAGAUGAUGAAAUGAAGUAGGCAAAAACAAAUUAACAAAAUAUCAUAUAUUUAACUUACAUUAUAAUUGGGAUAUCCAAAAAAUGGCUUGUUUGAAUUUGAUUAUGUUCCAGACCAUCGUAGAAUUGGACGAUAACCACACCCACACCAUUCCGGCACCCUCGCACUUCUGUUUCGGCUUUGUGACCUGGCCCAGUUAUCGCUUGAAGGAGAAUGAUUCGAGUUUCUAGCUACGGUGCUUCCACCACCCGCCAUGGUGCUGCAACUAAUAGCGACAAAUGACAAAGAUUUAACAAGAAGAGCAACAACAAGAAGAAGAAGAUAAAGAAGAAUAAGAAGACAAGAGGAGGGAAGACGGAAGUUGAAGAAGAUCGUAACUUAGAUAAAUGAGAGAAAAUUAGGGUUUUAGGGACUAAAUUGGAUAUAAAUACAACUCUCGCCACCUCAGCUAACCGUUGCAGGGUCCAACGUGGCAGAGAGGGUGCCACCUUGGCACUCCGUUUGCUGAGUCAUCACCGGAAAGGGCUGAGGGACUACAUUGGUGCCCGGAUCUAAAUCUGGAGGACCAGUAUAGAUAAUUUUAAAUCUCGAGGACUAAAAUGAGUAAUUGCGUGUAUCUCAGGGACCAAAAUGGGGUUUUAGUCGUCAAAAUUACUAGUCAAAGAUUCCUACAAUGUGCAAAAUUUUCCAAUUGUCAGUUGUGGAUAUAAUUUCUCUGCAACUACAAAAAUCAAUGAAAAAAUUUUAUCAGUUCGAUUCAAUCUAAGACCGGUUAAAGAUUAGAAUUGAUGAGAACCAAUUAGAACCGGUAAAAUCCAAUCAAACCGAAUCAUUUGAGAAAAAAAUUUAAAAUUAAUAAAGAUAUAGUUUAAAUUUAGAUCCUCUUUAAAUCUUUGUAUUACAUAUUUUUUUUGCCACCAAAUUAUAUUAUUUUUUAUUAUUUUAUAUGCUACUUAAUAAGUAUAUAAUAAAAUUGUACAAUAAUUUNNAAAAUCUUAAUAAAUACAUACAAUAUAUAAUAAUAUAAUAAAUAUAAAAAUACUUUAAUACAAAAAAAAUUAAAAAAUAUUUAUUAUGAAAAAUAUUAGAAUUUUAUAUACUUAUUAAUAAUAACCGAAUUAUAAUUUGUUGAUUAUAUGAUACGAAUUUGUAUCAAGAACUAGAGAGAAUUAGAGAUAAUCAGAGAGAAUAGAAGAGAAAUUUCUAGAAUUAGGACUAAAGAGAGAAAGUAGAGUUUCAAUUACACCAUGCAUAUCCCACAUUAUUACAUCAUACAUACUCCUAUUUAUAGUAUAGUUCUCUAAUUGAGCUAGCUCAAUACUAAUUAUAUCAUUACCCUACCCUUCAAAACAACCUCGUCCUGAAAGUUGCGGAAAAAUAUAAACUCUAACAAAAAUUAUAAAAGCUAAUUACAAGUAAUAAAAAAAAUUAGUAUUUCUAAAACAAUAUUUUCUAUGCUACUGCUAAAAAAAAUUUUAACCACCAGGAUCCCAUUGAAAAAUUUUUUGUUCAAUCCAAAACCAAUAAAAUAUAAUUCCUGUUGAAAUCUGAAAUUGGACUGAAAUCCUUAGAAUUGAGCUUAAAGUCAUUGUACCAUCCAUCACCUUCUGAUUUUGGGCUUCAGAAGGUAAAAUUUGGGUUAGCUCACAAUAGAAGCCCAACACAUUGUUAGGCUUCAGCAUCUCUUCCUCAUCCUCAUCGAAGAAGAGAGACGCGUUGUUGUUUCUCUGCCUCGGAGGUGCACCCACCGCCGCCCCUGCGUCCAACCCGCAGCCACCGGCCGUCGCGAGCUUGCAUGGAGGCACCGCCGCUGCCGUCCAGCUCCCAACCCUCCGCUGUUCGCUGUUCGAGUUCUCCCUACCUCUUCCCGAAGCCGCCACUCGCCCCUGCAAGCCCUCGCCGCUUCGUUCUCCGUCUCGAUUCCAAGGGAAGACCGCCACCAGGAGUAGUGGUGGAUUAGCCACGAUUGGAGAGGCUCGACAGAACCCCCAAACUCCACGAUCUCUGCCCCGGAUUGUGGUUCUGAUGGCGUGAGCACACACCCCUGUUACAGAAGCACCAUGGGCUUCUCCCUUCCGCGCCGCGAAAGCGCCGACGUCGGCGCUGCUCCUCUCAUCGUCAUUAGUGGCGGUUGUCCGCGGGUUCGGCGCCUCCCAAGGAAGAAACCGCCAAGCGUCCUCCCCUCCCGCAUCUCGAUCUGGCCGCAAAUCUCCUGGGUGCGUCAUCGACGAAUCAAACCAAGGUCGAUCCCCUGCAGUCCACAGAAUACCUUUACCACCAGGUUUGUUUGUGACUUCUGUAUUGUUCUUGGUCAUAAAUCUUGUAAUUGCACUAGAAUCAUUUGUCACUGAAAUUGCCAGAUCUGCUGUGGUUGGAAUCCCUGGAAUUGAGUUUUCAAAUGUGUGAUCUGCUGGUAGACAUUCUACUUGAACUGCAAGUUCUGUUGAUUCUUCAGGUAGAAAUUCAAAAUUGGAAUCGAAUUCUUCUUCUUCUGCAUCUAUCCUUUUUUAAUUUUGGCAUGAAUUUUGUAGUUGUUGCUGAAAUUGUAUUACUGCUUCUUUGUAAUUACAUAUUGACACUGGUGAGCGCUGAAUUGUUGCUUGAUCUGGAGUUUCUGUUGAUUUUGCUUGUUGCUGUGGUUGGACUAGGAAACAGAAAUCUGAUUCUUCUGCUUCGUCUUCCUCUUUUGUGUGAACUGGAGUCAUGUUGAAUUCUGGAAAAUUGGUUGCUGCAUUCUCCAAUGCUGCCUUCUCAUAAUCUGAUGCUGAAUUCUGAAAUUGCAGAGCCGGAAGUGUAGAAUUGUUUGCUUCUAGAGCUGUUGAAUCAUUGUUGAGUGGUGGAAAAGCUGAGGUUGAUUUGGCUUGAAUCUGGCAUAUUGGAGGCUGUUGGAGUCGUUGAUGAUUUCGCCAGGUUGUACAAAUUUUGGUGCAGGUUGCCUGAAUAUCUGCAAGUAUCUUGGAUGGUUUUUCAUAAUCUGAAUUCAAGCGAUCUAAGCUAGUUUGAGUUUGAAUCUGAUCCCAAAUUGCGUCAUCAUAGGAAUUUGGCAUGGUGUUCAAUGAAAGCACCAUUUGAUACGA